GUAGGUGGCAAGCGUUGUCCGGAAUUAUUGGGCGUAAAGCGCGCGCAGGCGGUUCUUUAAGUCUGAUGUGAAAGCCCACGGCUCAACCGUGGAGGGUCAUUGGAAACUGGAGAACUUGAGUACAGAAGAGGAAAGCGGAAUUCCACGUGUAGCGGUGAAAUGCGUAGAGAUGUGGAGGAACACCAGUGGCGAAGGCGGCUUUCUGGUCUGUAACUGACGCUGAGGCGCGAAAGCGUGGGGAGCAAACAGGGAUUAGAUACCCUGGUAGUCCACGCCGUAAACGAUGAGUGCUAAGUGUUAGGGGGUUUCCGCCCCCUUAGUGCUGCAGCUAACGCAUUAAGCACUCCGCCUGGGAGUACGGCCGCAAGGCUG
rnacentral:rRNA from 1 species